CGGGUACCUAAAAAGAAGGUGGUUGGCGAGGCAUCUAAAUUUGUAGUAAACGAAGGGAAUGUUGUGGCAUCUCAGGCACAGGCUGGUGCCGACAGCACUGACAAGCAGACUGCUGAAGCAGACACCAUAGAGACUGAGGGCAAGAAACCUGCAAAGGUAGUAACCAAGAGAAAGUUGAAAACACCUACCUCUGGGGUGCAAGAUGAUGCAACUGUAGUAAAUGAAGGGAAUACUGUGGCUGUUCAGGCACAGGAUGGUACCGACAGCCCUGGCAAGCAGACUGCCGAUGGAGACACAACAGUGACCGAGGGCAAGAAACCUGCAAAGGUAGUAACCAAGAGAAAUUUAAAAACACCAACCUCUGGGGUGCAAGAUGAUGCAACUGGUUCCAAUAAAAAAGUCGCAAAGAGCACUGAUAAAACUGAUGACGAAAAUGCUGUUGCAGCUCCUGCAAAUGAUGACACUCAGAGCACUGACAAGCAGGCUGCUAAUGCAGAUACAAAAAUUGUUUCGGUAGCAAAGAAAAUUGUGAAGGUAGUUCCUAGGAAAAAGUUAAAGGUGUCUACCUCUGAAAAGCAAGAAGGUGCACGUGGUGC
rnacentral:lncRNA from 1 species